rnacentral:misc_RNA from 1 species
UCCGGUUUGUUUCCGGCAGUCUCUUUAGAUAGUCAACUAAAGACAAGGGUUGCGCUCGUUGCGGGACUUAACCCAACAUCUCACGACACGAGCUGACGACAGCCAUGCAACAUCUGUGCACCCGUCCCGAAGGAGGCCCGGGUUUCCCCGACUUGCGAGUACAUGUCAAGCCCUGGUAAGGUUCUUCGCGUUGCAUCGAAUUAAACCACACGCUCCGCUGCUUGUGCGGGUCCCCGUCAAUUCCUUUGAGUUUUAGUCUUGCGACCGUGCUCCCCAGGCGGGCCACUUAAUGCGUUAGCUUCGGCACGGAAGGGGUCAACACCCCCCACACCUAGUGGCCAUCGUUUGCUGCUAGGACUAC